UUCCAGUUUUUGGGUAUUCUUCCCUGUUGUAAUCCUUAUUCCAUAUUUCUCUUGGCAGGGAAAGAUGAUCUAUCUGGUAGAAGCAGGCAGAGUCCACACACUUGGUCACUUUUGAGAUCUCAGGUUGUAAAUGGUGUGGGUCAGGAAUAGUUGUCAUCUGAGUGGAUACAGAAUAAGAACCAUAUCCUGCUUGGUGUUCUUACUCAGUGCUCCUCACCAUAGGUCUCACUGAGAACGCCUGAUAAGAUAUAUUUAUUUUUGACAGACAAAAGUCAUGCUUAGAGAUAAUAGAUAAUAAAAAAUGCAAAUGGUUCCCUGGAUAUUCAAAGAGAUCAGGUUCUUCAGCAUUAUGUAUAUGCCAAUUCUACACAGAAUUGUUAUUUUACAUUAAAGAAACAUGCUGCUGGUACAAAAGCAGUGAUUAAUGCCAAAAUCAGAGAUUAAAGCAAUUGUACCCUCUCCACUGCAACCCUUUAAUUUCAAACACCCAUUCCCACUCCACCCAAAGAAUGACUUGCCUAGACCACAUGUAAAGAUACAGAAUCAAAGUUCAGUAAGCAGCCUUAUUACAACUCAAAAUUUUGCUGAUUCACAAAAUGUCAGAGAUAUAAAAUAAUAUGUAUGAUAAAUGAUAUAUAUAUAUAUAUCACUCUUAAAGAGUACUUUUCAGUAAAGUGCUAUUAGACCUAUUAAGGAAAAUAUUAUAUAUAUAUUAAAUGAGGAUUAUAACAGAAAACCACUAGGAUCCCUUCACCACAAUUGCUGAUUAACAUGUAGGAGGAUCUGUCAUUCAAGACUCAGUAACAAGCCAUGAAAAUCUUCAGGUCUUGCUGUUCUCAGUUCCAUUAUUGAAUAGUGUCAAGAACCUCCUGUAUUCAUGCUAUUGGCAUGAAUGCCAUUAUAUCUUACUUUGUUUCUCUGAAAAUAGAAAAAUAUACGUUUAAAUAUCACUACAGAGUAAAAUCUUUAAGAAGCAAAUAGCAAAUGUACAGAACAAAAAAUAUACUGAGGCAGAUAAAGAAAUACAAUAGGUCUUUGAAAACUGAUGAAAGCUGUAACAGUAUUUAGGAAAAGUACUACUUUCUAGUACAGUACUUAUUCUCUUUUUGUACACAUCCGUAGGCAACAAUCAGUAGCAGGGUUCUGGGAGAGUCAGUCAUUUAGCCAUUCAUAUACACACACCUCCAAAAAUAUCACUGGAUUUCCUUCAUGCUAAACAGAAUAAGUUAAUGCUAUACAAGCAUUAGCAACGCUGCUAAUACCUAAAUUAUACAAAUAUUACUAAUUCAAGUGUAUGGUAUCGCAAGUAUAAUAUAAGAAGGAAAAAAAAAAAAAAGAAGUGAAAUCAAGCAAACAUACAACAAAGCAGCCUGAAAAAUCAAAACAGUUUCAAAACUGGAGUGGAGUCAGGCAGCAGUGUGGGAUAUCAGCUGUUCCAGGUUUUCAUUGUAAACAUGCCUAAAAGCUAGGAAGCUCCUGAUGCAUCCUGGUCAAGGGUACAGUUAAUCAUCACUCUGAUCUCUAUUAUAUUUUAUUCCAUCUAGCUGAUUUGUUCCGCGUCUAAACUAAAAGUUGCUGUUCAGCCUAAGUUGUUAAGGAGAAGAAUAUGCUGCUAAUUAUUCUGGAAGUGACUGAAAAAUACCUGAAAGACAAUGCAGUCAUUACUUGCAGCCAACAUGAGUUUAUGAGGGGAAAUUCCUGUUAAACUAACCUACUCUCCUUUUAUCAAAAUGUUACCCAUCUAGUCCACAAAGGGAAGUCUGCUGAAAUUUUAGAAUUUCAGCAAGGCUUUCAACACUGUUUCUCACAGCAUUCUUUUGGAGAAAACAUCCAGAAUACGCUUAGAAAAAAACAUAACAUAAAUAGUGAACUCAAAGAGUUCUAGUAAAUGGGAUUACAUCAGGUUGGUGGCCAGCCACCAGUGGAGUUGUACAGAGUUCAAUUCUAGGGCCAAUUCUCUUCAACAUUUUCAUUAACAACUUGAAUAUACAACUUCAAUGUAUACUAAGUAAGCUUGUGAAAAACAACAAAUUGUAAAUAGCUGACUCCCUCUAGGGCAGAGAGGCCUUGAUGAAUGAGAGGGUUGGGCAAUCACCAACCACUCGAAGUUUAAUGGGGGUAAGUGCCAGAUUCUGCACCUGGAAUACAGCAGCUCUGAAUGUAGGUACAGACUGGGGGUGAGAGGCUGGAGAACAGUCCUGGAGGAGCCAGUCCAGUGACUCUGGUUGAUAAGAAGUUGUAUCUGAAACAGCAGUGUGCAGCCAAAGUGCCAGCCGUACUCUGGAGUGCACCAGGCCCAGCACUGCCAGCCUGGUAGGGAGAGGGAUUUGUCCCACCUCAAGCUGUGUGAGCAAGGAAAAGGACAUGUACAGAGUAUUCAAAAGAAGGCACCCAACAUGCUAAGGAGUCUGGAGUACAUGACACAAGGAACAGUUGAGAUCUCUUGGUUUGUUCAGUUCAGAGCAGAGGAGGCUGAGGGAAGAUCUCACAGCAGCCUGCAGCUCCUCAUGAGAGGAGUACAGGGGCAGUGCUGAGCGCCCUAGUGGCAGCGACAGGGUCUGAAGGAAUGGCAUCGAGCUGUGUCAGGGGAGAAGCAGCUGGGUGUUAGGAAAAGGUUCUUCACCAGGCGGUGGGCACAACCCCAAGUGCUGGAAUUCAGUGCUUUCAGACAUAGGAUUUGGAUUUUAGAUGGUCCUGUGCAGAGCAGGGGUUGGACUCCAUGAUCCCUCUGGGUCUCUUCCAACUCAGGAUAUUUUAGAAAACACUGUAUUGCAAUUGCUUACUGCAUUGAGCAAUAUCUGUAUAAUUAAACUACCUUGUUGCCAGAGUUGCUUGCUUGUCCUUUAUGAAGCCUUAAUCUUUUAUCUUAAUCUAGCAAAUUCCAGGAGUACAAUAAUACCACUUAUUCUGAACCCUUGGGCGACCAUAAUUUAAAAGAUUUAUUAAGUGUUUUGGUAUAGAAUCCACAUGAAUCACUUCUCUCUAACAGUAUUUAAGCCGAAUUAUUUAAUCAAAUAUCUUCUCCAGAUUUUCAGGAAAUGGUCCUAAAACUGUAUUUGAAAUCGCCUAGGUAUUGACAAGCCAGAUUGUGAAAUGUCCUGAGAACAAUUUCUUUUGCUGCAUUUUGAAGUUUUUGCUAUGGAUAUAUAAAAAAGUAACAAUGAAAACUAAUCAGAAUUGCAGAGUUUUCCAGCACAUUUGAAUAAACGCACACAACCAAAAUAUCUAAAACCUGACUAUUUUUACAAUGCACUCUUGGAGCCUAAGCUUUUCUGCAUGACAAAGGCUGUUUAAUUAAUACAUGUUUGCUCAAUGGAAGUGAUAGCUGUGCACAAGCUACGCUGACCUGAAGGCAGUAGCAAUUCCCUAUUCCCUAGCAUAAGGUUCCAAUUGGUAUCUGAAAAAAUACAGCUUGUGGUGGAAGUUAUAGCGUUCAAAAAUACUAUAUUUGCACAGUGUUGUGGUAGUGCUCUUAACUUAUUAGAUUGGAUGAAGUUCUCUUUUCUAAAGACAGUUUGUUUUUUGAAGAAAAACGCAGGACUGUUAUCUGCUAUUUUUCAGGCUCAUGUGGGAUGCAAUUAAGAACACCUGUGUAUAUAAAAAAAUCAACAUCUUGGCUACUGUUGUAUUAUAUUAUCUAAAUUACCAGAGCCAAAAUGAGAAGGAAUUUCAGUUAACCAAGCAUGCUGACAACAGAUGGCAGCAGUCUAAACUGAGAACAGCACCAAAAAAUACAUCACUCGGAAAGUGAGAAAAAAAUAUUACUGAGAGGUUUUAUGAUUUGUUUUGUUAUUUUAAAAUCACAGUACAUCCUUACUCAGUUAACUCAGUAGAACAGCUCAUAGACUGGGCAUUUCCUCUUGAGUAGUGCUGUCCAAAUCUCUUAUUUUUCUGGAGUUUUUAAGACUUCUACAAAUUACAGACUGAGAUGCUAAUUGGAAAACACUUAAAGAAACACACUGAUAGAUUAAUAGAAGACAAUAAAUGUGCUAAUCUUCAAUUAAGCCUGGAAACUAUCUGUACUAGCCCCUAAUACUUAAGGUUCUUUGGCUUCUAGAAUGUUAUUUCAAAAUUGAUGUGUUCAUGUUAAAUAUUUACCAAAUGUAUGCUGGAGUGCCAGUAGUCAUACAGAGAAUAAACAACUUUAUUUUAUAACAGAAUUACAGAAAGCAAAAAUAUCACUUAAUACAACUUCAAGCUGCUAUAAAUCUAAUUUGGCAUUUUAACUAUACACAGAGUCAAACAGCAAAACAAAGACAAAACAAAAACAACUCCAAAAAACAACCAACCUCCUCCCCCCCUCCCCAAGAACUAAAUAAAAAUGAAAUCCAAAAUAAUUAACAGGUUUUUUCAAUGGCAGUCUCAAAUGAUGGUUCUGUCUUACUACUUUAUGAAUGGAAUCCACCUCAUACUUUUACUCAGUGUCCUUAAAAACCUGUGUUAACCAUUAGACAAAGUAUCUGAAACAUAUACCUUCUCAAUAACAAAUGUCAGUUCUAACAUGUAGGCAGUGAGAUUUAAUAGAAAGCAAGCAUUCUACACGUGUAUUCAAAUAAUGGAAGUGUUGAAGUUUGGACACAGUAAGAAAAAAAAAAGCACUAAGGUUUUAAGCUGCCUAGAUCUCUUGUUGGAAGAAGAUAUUUUGAUAUUCUUUCUCUCCCUAUCUGGAAUGUUGCAGACAGCAAAACGUCUACAAGAAGUUGAGCAUUGGCACCAAAGUGCAAAGAGAACACAGUGCUGAGUCAAAAGAAAUUUCUUUGUAACUCUCUCUCCUCUACAGACUGCCACACCAUCUCUGCCCCACAGAGAGGAGAAUCUUGGAACAGAAGGAGUUACAGGAGAUACCAGUACAAAAUUUAUCCAAAGAAAUAUAUAUUUUCAAAUUUUAGUAAAGGUUGUAUUUUUAUUAAAAAAGCUUUGUUAUGUGAGACCAUAUAUUUACCUGAAUAAUCUGACAAAAAAAAAAGAAAAAAAAAUCUGUAAAUUACUUCAGAAAGAGAUUUCAUUGAAAUAUUUGGGAAAAACCUACAUCUAAAUUAGUUAAGAACCCCUUUUCUGCACAGUUACCACCUGCUCCAGUGAACAGUACUUUCCAGACCCUUUUUUUGUUCACUUUCAUAUUCAAGAAUCAGCUUCAGAAAUGCAAAGAUUUGUGAAAUACCCUCUACAGUGUCAUUAAAAAAACUAAGCUUGUUAAGAAGUGGUUAUAAAAAAAUAAACAAGAAAGCUUGUAAGGGAUUAUAGGCCAAAGAUGUUAAAAUUGAGUUUGGUAUUGGCAACUCAUUCUUAAAAUUCUGGUCAUCGUUGGUAGGCUUGGUGUAUUCAGUUGAGCAGUGAUGAUCACAGUUCUUCAAGGUUAUGAUCAUGGCCAGCAUAAUUUUUGUUUCUGGAAGAAAAAGGAGGGGGAAGAUUACAUAAGCAUGCAUAGCAGACGAUGGGACACUUACACAGCAUCAGAUUCAAUAAGUCAUUUUUCACAUAAAAGUUAUUUUGGGGGAGGGUUAUUUCACAAAAAAGAGUGUUAUAUAAACUGAAGUCUCCUUUGGCCCUAAGGUGGGCAGCAAUUCAGUUUCUGUCAAUGUUUUUUUGCAUUAGUGUAUUUCUUCCUCCUCAGAAUUUUCAUGGUAUUUCAACAAUUAUCUAUUGUACCCUUAUUUAAAAUUUUAAUUCAAAAUCCAAAAUCUAAUAUAAAGAGAAAUGAAGAUAUUUGCUCAAUUAAUAAUCCUUAAGAGUACAACGUUUCACUUUCAUUAGAGAAAACAAGCCUACAUAAAAAAAACCAAACACUUCAAUAUUUGUAGCCAGGGCAAAACUAAAAAACAUAACGUGGAUUCAUGGUGUGAUCCAAUUGCCUAAAUACAGUUGUCUAAAUGUAUUUUCACAUCUGGCCUUCACUUGGUGAAGAAGGGCAUAAGUCUUCUGACAGUCUGUGCUGCAGACACAUUUAGAGCAUUUCAUGUGCUUGUGUCUGGGCAACUGAAGUUUUCCUGAGCGUUUAACUGAAAGGCGUCAUUCAAUCACAAUGUCUGAAAUACAAGAGAAAUGUGGUGAAAUGUCUUCAAACUAGUCCUUUUUAACUCCCAGAUCAAAAAACUGUAAAGCAAUUGGCAAACUUGGAGAAAAACACCUGACACUCUGGUAAUAUUUCAAACACCAUUGUACAAUGUACAUUGUACAAACACCAUUUACUUCUCAAAGAAGUAAAGCACACCCUCCGGACAUAUAAACAAUUCUUUGAGUUUUUGUCGUCAAAAAAACUUUUACCAAGUAGUAGAAUAUUUGAUUAAAGAACACAGUCAAGUUUGCAGUUGGUCACUAAUGCAGAAAUACAGCGCAUAUCUGUGAAGACUAUUUCUUCCUUCCAUGGCAUAGUCCCUUCAAAAGAGAUGCUACGAUUACUUACAUGGGACAGAUUACGUUGAACACUGAUUUUGAGGCAAUUUUGUGGAUUGAGAUAGUGUGAAAAAUUUGGCACAUUCUGCAUAGAUAUAGCAAAAGAAGCAGUCCCCACUCCCAAAAUCCUUAAAUUCAUGCUGAAUAGAAGUAUUGUGAUUACAGUACAUACUGUAAUAAAUUCUUACAAAUCAAAAUGAUUUGUUCUGCUCCCAGUGCAUUUUUCUACCUUAGAUCCUUCUAUGCAAAUACUGAAAAUAGGAGAAGGAUGGUUUUAGUGUGUGGGUUCAGCGCCGCCCAGUACCAAGGGGGUAGAGAAGUUACCUAGAACACAGACAUUUUCCUUACUGCAAACUAACAGCUCUCAAAAACAGUGUGGAUUUUUCCAAGCCUUUCUGGGUCAUGUGUAACACUUCUAUAAUAUUACUAUCUCACAGCGCAGCUCCAUGUCUCUUGUGUUUUCAAAAGAAAGCUGGAGCAUACAUGCUCGUUGUUUCCAGUGUCACUAAGCAAUAAAGCUACAAGGUGGAACACCAAGAAAAGUUAGUAAAACUAACUUUCCUGUACAGUUCCUCAUUUAGUCACUUGUUCCCAAGCAUACAAAAUAUCUCAACAAAACAACAUACUCCUCUCCACUGUCCCCCAGAAACCCCAAAUCCCACCACACAUGCACUAGAUUUGUGGACCUUCAAGUCCAUUCCUUUCCGGCCUGAAUCAUCUUUAUUAUAUAUAGCAAAAGAAGACAAAUGUUUGGAGGAACAGCAGUGUGUGUUUUAAAUUACUGACAGCUGGAAUUGUCUGAGAGCAUUGCAACUUCUGAAGAUAUUCCAAGAAACGUCAGAACUCUUCUAUAUCCACCAAAAGACGUUUUGUUAUUUCCAGCUUUUAACAAUAACAUUGAGUGAUAGAACAUUCACCUAGCACUUCCAAAUCUGACCUAUACUGGUUUUGGUUUGCAUAAGUUACAAGCAAAAAUUAUUCACUCCUUUUUCAAAUACACAUUAACCUAACCAAUACUGAAGAUAUUUUAAAGAGAGCAGCUCAAAUUUGUUCCACUCUGACAUAAAGCCUCCAGAUUCUCAGAGAGCUUAAAGAAGAACCAGUCAAAAGGAAUUUAUGAACUCUCAUCACAAAAAAAAAAACAAACAACAACAUUUGAGUACAAUCUGUAGGAGGCCAGAAAAGGCAACUGGAACUCUCUCACUCA